rnacentral:rRNA from 1 species
GCGAACGCUGGCGGCAGGCUUCACACAUGCCAGUCGAGCGGGCACUUUCGGGUGUCAGCGGCGGACGGGUGAGUAACGCGUGGGAACGUGCCCUCUGGUUCGGAAUAACUCAGGGAAACUUGAGCUAAUACCGGAUACGCCCUUUUGGGGAAAGGCUUGCUGCCGGAGGAUCGGCCCGCGUCUGAUUAGCUAGUUGGUGAGGUAACGGCUCACCAAGGCGACGAUCAGUAGCUGGUCUGAGAGGAUGAUCAGCCACACUGGGACUGAGACACGGCCCAGACUCCUACGGGAGGCAGCAGUGGGGAAUAUUGGACAAUGGGCGCAAGCCUGAUCCAGCCAUGCCGCGUGAGUGAUCAAGGCCUUAGGGUUGUAAAGCUCUUUUAUCCGGGACGAUAAUGACGGUACCGGAGGAAUAAGCCCCGGCUAACUUCGUG